AUACGUAGGUGACAAGCGUUAUCCGGAUUUACUGGGCGUAAAGGGCGUGUAGGCGGUCUUGCAAGUCAGAAGUGAAAUUCCUGAGCUCAACUCGGGCGCUGCUUCUGAAACUGCAGGACUUGAGUGCUGGAGGGGAUAGCGGAAUUCCUAGUGGAGCGGUAAAAUGCGCAGAUAUUAGGAAGAACACCGGUGGCGAAGGCGGCUAUCUGGACAGUAACUGACGCUGAGGCGCGAAAGCGUGGGGAGCAAAAAGGAUUAGAUACCCUGGUAGUCCACGCUGUAAACGAUGAUUACUAGGUGUUGGGGACCAAAGGUCCUCGGUGCCGCCGCAAACGCAUUAAGUAAUCCACCUGGGGAGUACGUUCGCAAGAAUGAAACUCAAAUGAAUUGACGGGG
rnacentral:rRNA from 1 species